CCCCAGUGGUGUGCCAUGCUACAGGCUUCUACCCUGACAGGGUGGUGGUGUUCUGGAGGAGAGACGGCCAGGAGCUCCAUGAGCAGGUGGACCCCGGGGAGGUCCUCCCCAACCACGACGGGACCUUCCAGGUCAGCGUGGACCUGGACCUCACGGCCGUCCCACAGGAGGACUGGGGGAGGUACGAGUGUGUGGUCCAGCUGAAAGGCAUCGAGGACAUCCCCACCCCCCUGGACCCCGCCCUCAUCAGGACCAACUGGGGGAAGACUGGGAGGGACGGAGGGCUCCCGGGGUCCUUCCCCGUCGCUGGCUCUGUGGCGGGGGCCCUCCUCCUGGUUGGAGCUCUGGUCCUGGCGGGAGUCUGUUGGUACAGGAAGAGGAACGGUUCAGCCAAACGUCCAGCAGCUGGUGAGUAACGUGUGUUUUUACUGCAGUUCUGCUCUCAUGAUUA